rnacentral:lncRNA from 1 species
GGCUACACAGCUUCUGCUAGACCCUCUUGGGAUGUUCUUGCUUGGAGCCAAGCAGCCACCUGGAGACCCCACACAGCCUUUCCAGCUGACAGCCCCAGCUGAGGUCCCAGCAGAUGGCAUAUCCACAGUGAGUGGGUGAGCCUGGAGAGAACUCCUGCCCUCAUUGCCCUCUGACCACAGCAGAGGGAGAGCCCAGCCGAGCCUACUCUACCCCAGGACCACGAGGAAAUGAAGCCUUCUCUGAACCAGUCCCAAGAAGUCUCAACUUUAAAGCAUUAACUCCCCAAAUGAACUCACUUUCAUUUCAUCUUCUCAUAUGUCAUUGCAUUCUCAACAAACCAGAUCUAUAGGAUGGAUCAGUCAAAGCUUACAAAGAAAUCUAAUUAGGUAUGGAAUAUGAACUUUUUAUUUGAUAAAUAACUUAG